rnacentral:rRNA from 1 species
AUUGAACGCUGGCGGCAGGCCUAACACAUGCAAGUCGAGCGGAUGAAGGGAGCUUGCUCCUUGAUUCAGCGGCGGACGGGUGAGUAAUGCCUAGGAAUCUGCCUGGUAGUGGGGGAUAACGUCCGGAAACGGGCGCUAAUACCGCAUACGUCCUGAGUGAGAAAGUGGGGGAUCUUCGGACCUCACGCUAUCAGAUGAGCCUAGGUCGGAUUAGCUAGUUGGUGGGGUAAAGGCCUACCAAGGCGACGAUCCGUAACUGGUCUGAGAGGAUGAUCAGUCACACUGGAACUGAGACACGGUCCAGACUCCUACGGGAGGCAGCAGUGGGGAAUAUUGGACAAUGGGCGAAAGCCUGAUCCAGCCAUGCCGCGUGUGUGAAGAAGGUCUUCGGAUUGUAAAGCACUUUAAGUUGGGAGGAAGGGCAGUAAGUUAAUACCUUGCUGUUUUGACGUUACCAACAGAAUAAGCACCGGCUAACUUCGUG